AGCAGUUGUGUUUCUAUUCUAUUUUUCUUUUAGAGCAUUGGGCGUUUCAGGUUAAUACAUAGGAUUAAUUUGAGUGACACCUCAUAGUAAAUGCAUAUGGCAGUCAGUUUGCAACUUCUUGCAAAUCAUUCGAACCUAAAGAUUCAGUUUUAGUACAUGAUCCUGAGCCUGAAUGCUUACUGCAUUCAUUAUAAUUUCCUGGCAUUCAUUUUGGUACUCGAAAUCUCCCCCUAAUACCUGGAAAAGCUCAUGAUUCAAGCAAGCGUACGAGCCGUAAAUAGAUUCUCAUGAAGAGAUUCUAAAACUUAAUGAUCGACGGAGAAUGAAUUCUCACAUAGAUCCCUAGUUUUCUGUGUGCCCAUAUAUGUACGCUGCGGUGGUGAGAUUGGGAACAUACCUAAUGUACGCAUGGGAAAUCUUUCACGGAUUCCCACGUACUAAAAACCAUAGGGGAACUUGUACAUGCAGUUAAUCACAAGUCAGGGGCGUGCAAAACUUCCUAACUCCAACCAUAACCAGUUGGAAAUGACAAUUCAUUACUGAUGGUCAUUAAUGAUCUGAAAUAUUCGAAUCUAUCACAGAUUCAUCAUAUCCUUUAUGGAUAUCAUUCUGAAUACCAAGACAAACAAUCACCAUUGUAAGCACAUUUGUUAAAUUCAGUAGUGAGUGUGGAGGCUAAUGUGCUCAAGCUUGAGACAUUAUUGCUUAAUGGUCAUGUGUUGUCCGAAGGACACACUUGAGGUCAUCAUAUAGAUGCACCAAAGAACCAUAUAAAGCCUUCAAUGUCCAUACAAUCUCUGUAAUGGACCACACUCGUUCCUUUGAAACAAUUCAAAGAACUUAACCGAUUCAGAUCAUAUUUUAAGAUAAGAGGGACUUAAAAUCUCAUUUUCGAUGAUACUCAUCAAGUAUCCAUCUUAUGGGAAAAACAUGACCAAUAGAAUUGUUCAUAACUUUUCAUUUCAUCCCAACAAUGGGAUGACCAAUUCAAUCUUACCCAGCAUGGUAAGUAUCAUCACUUGAAAAGUUAUAACAUAUGCAACACUUUGUAUGGGAGGAUGUAUGUGGAAUACAAUCCAUAACAAAUGUUUCCGAGAAACACAUGCAAUAUCCAUCACUAUCACCUUGUGUUUGCCCAUGAUAGGAAUUAUAUGGAUAUCACUAUAAUAUGGUAAGAUAUCAAUCAACACAUUCUUGAUACUUCCAAUACCAAAAGGGGAUAUGAUAAUAACAUAUCAUGAUAUCGCACGAAGCGAUUGUCAAAAAUAUCCUUUUCUCUUUCCAAAGGAAUUAUGAGAAUAUUUUGUUUCCCCACUUAUAGAGUUUGUGGCUCAAUUCUCCACAUUGCAUGCUUCUUCCUCAAUUGGAAGAAUCCCCGUA
rnacentral:lncRNA from 1 species